AUACGAAGGGUGCUAGCGUUGUUCGGAAUGACUGGGCGUAAAGGGCGUGUAGGCGGUUUAAUGCGUCAGAUGUGAAAGUCCUGGGCUUAACCUAGGGAUUGCAUUUGAUACGGUUAGACUAGAGGUUUUGAGAGGGAGAUGGAAUUGUGCGUGUAGCAGUGAAAUGCGUAGAGAUGCACAGGAACACCAGUGGCGAAGGCGAUCUCCUGGCGAAGACCUGACGCUAAAGCGCGAAAGCGUGGGGAGC
rnacentral:rRNA from 1 species